UGUUUUAUGAAUACGUGAAUUUUUUCGCGUUUCCUUGCAAAAAAGGAUAACAACGGCUGUACAACACAACAUGGAACAACAACUGCAAAUAAAACGAAUAAAAAAAACAAGCAUUGCAUACUUUAUGUGUUGGCUAAAACCGGGGUUUUUGCGCGGCCUAUGUGCGUUUGCUCUUGCUAAAUGAUUUUUUUGCCAUAUACUAGACGAUUAGUACAAAACUUAACAUCAACGUCGACGUUACAUAAAAAUUUUUAUUUUCGGAUUUUUUUUCACUCCAAAAACACCAACAACAAAAAAAAACAAGCAACAAAAAACCAACCAAAAAAAAAAAAAGAAACCUCUAAAAAUUCUAUUUUUAACAACAAGAAAUUAGUUAUUAAUAAAAAUUUAACUUUUCGUUUCAACUGCAAUGAUUUUCUUUUACAUAUGUAUAUAUUUUUGAGUGUACACAAGUGUUUAGUGCUUAAGUCUCAUAUAGUUGGAAAAUAAUGCAACUCAAGAAAACUUUUUCGAUUUAAAAAGUCUUUAAAUUUGUUUUAAUUUAUGUUUUAAAUACAAAAGAAAACUAAGUAAUUAAGGAAAAAUGUUUUAUGUGCAAUUUUUUAAUAUUUGCAACGACUUCAAAACCACAACUGCAAUCACGGCCACAAUAAAAACAACAACGACGACAACGAUGUUUACUGCUACGAAUACGACGACGAAGAUGAAGAAGAAUUUUUAAGUUUUGUAAGAAAAUGCUAAAUCAAAAGACACCACCAACAACAAUGUAACAAUUUAACCAACAAACACAUACAAUAUGCAACAUUAACUGAAAAAGAAAAGAAAAAAACAGAAACAAACAAAAAAUAAUUUGAGUCUUUUUUGAGUCCUGGUUACACCAUAUCGAGAAGUUAUCCAAUGAGAAAGCCGCUUAAAUUUUGGAGGAUUAAUGAUGGACGACAGAGAUAAAUAACGCUUUGUUUGUGAGAGACUUUUAAGCGCGUGAAAGGAGAGAGAAAAAAAAUUCCCAACAAAAUUAAAAUUUUCUUUUAAUUUAAUCCAAAAAAAAAACAAAAUUUAAGGAAAUUUAGAGAAAACAUUCUUUAAUACAACAAAAAGAAAAAACAAAAAACAAUUAAAAAUUCAAAAAUCUUAAAAAUUAAAUGCUAAAGACAUUCGCAUGUGUGUGGUGGUGGAAAGAAGAUUCAAAACAAAAUUUACAAUUAGAAAACGGAAAAAACGUAAACGUCGCAUUUUGAACCGGAAGGCUAAAAAGGAGAAAAACAAAAAAAAAAACUCAAGUUGUGAAUCAAAAUUUCUAAGUUUGGCGAAAUUUAUUACUUUUUAAAAACGUACGUACGGCUACUAGGAGAAGCGAUAAGCUU